GAUGAACGCUGGCGGUAUGCUUAACACAUGCAAGUCGAACGGUCACUUCGGUGCUAGUGGCGGACGGGUGAGUAACGCGUGCGAAUCUGUCUUCAGGUCGGGGACAACAGUUAGAAAUGACUGCUAAUACCGGAUGUGCCUUUGGGUGAAAGAUUUAUUGCCUGAAAAAGAGCUCGCGUCAGAUUAGCUAGUAGGUGGUGUAAGAGACUACCUAGGCUCCGAUCUGUAGCUGGUCUGAGAGGACGAUCAGCCACACUGGAACUGAGACACGGUCCAGACUCCUACGGGAGGCAGCAGUGGGGAAUUUUCCGCAAUGGGCGAAAGCCUGACGGAGCAAUACCGCGUGAGGGACGAAGGCUUUUGGGUCGUAAACCUCUUUUCUCAAGGAAGAUGAUGACGGUACUUGAGGAAUAAGCAUCGGCUAACUCUGUG
rnacentral:rRNA from 1 species